rnacentral:rRNA from 1 species
AUUGAACGCUGGCGGCAUGCCUUACACAUGCAAGUCGAACGGUAACAGGUCUUCGGAUGCUGACGAGUGGCGAACGGGUGAGUAAUACAUCGGAACGUGCCUAGUAGUGGGGGAUAACUACUCGAAAGAGUGGCUAAUACCGCAUGAGAUCUACGGAUGAAAGCAGGGGAUCACAAGACCUUGUGCUACUAGAGCGGCCGAUGGCAGAUUAGGUAGUUGGUGGGAUAAAAGCUUACCAGGCCGACGAUCUGUAGCUGGUCUGAGAGGACGAUCAGCCACACUGGGACUGAGACACGGCCCAGACUCCUACGGGAGGCAGCAGUGGGGAAUUUUGGACAAUGGGCGCAAGCCUGAUCCAGCAAUGCCGCGUGCAGGAUGAAGGCCUUCGGGUUGUAAACUGCUUUUGUACGGAACGAAAAGCCCUGGGUUAAUACCCUGGGGUCAUGACGGUACCGUAAGAAUAAGCACCGGCUAACUACGUGCCAGCCGCCGCAGUAAAAC